rnacentral:rRNA from 1 species
UACGCGCGGAUCUUCCAGAGAUUAGAGUUUGAUCCUGGCUCAGAUUGAACGCUGGCGGCAGGCCUAACACAUGCAAGUCGAACGGUAACAGGAAGCAGCUUGCUGCUUCGCUGACGAGUGGCGGACGGGUGAGUAAUGUCUGGGAAACUGCCUGAUGGAGGGGGAUAACUACUGGAAACGGUAGCUAAUACCGCAUAACGUCGCAAGACCAAAGAGGGGGACCUUAGGGCCUCUUGCCAUCGGAUGUGCCCAGAUGGGAUUAGCUAGUAGGUGGGGUAACGGCUCACCUAGGCGACGAUCCCUAGCUGGUCUGAGAGGAUGACCAGCCACACUGGAACUGAGACACGGUCCAGACUCCUACGGGAGGCAGCAGUGAGGAAUAUUGCGCAAUGGGGGCAACCCUGACGCAGCGACGCCGCGUGGAUGAUGAAGGCCUUCGGGUCGUAAAAUCCUGUCGGAUGGAAAGAAGUGUGAUGUGGUUAAUACCCAUGUCAUUUGACGGUACCAUCAGAGGAAGCACCGGCUAACUCCGUGCCAGCAGCCGCGGUAAUACGGAGGGUGCAAGCGUUGUUCGGAAUUACUGGGCGUAAAGCGCGCGUAGGCGGUUUGAUAAGUCAGAUGUGAAAGCCC